rnacentral:rRNA from 1 species
UACAGUGGCGUACGGGUGAGUAACACGUGGGUGAUCUACCCUUUAGUGGGGAAUAACGCUGGGAAACCGGCGCUAAUACCGCAUAAUCUCGAGAGAGGAAAGCAGCAAUGCGCUGAAGGAGGAGCCCGCGGCCGAUUAGCUAGUUGGUAGGGUAAAAGCCUACCAAGGCAUAGAUCGGUAGCCGGCCUGAGAGGGCACACGGCCACACUGGCACUGAAACACGGGCCAG